AACGAACGCUGGCGGCAGGCUUAACACAUGCAAGUCGAACGGUUGUAGCAAUACAGCAGUGGCAGACGGGUGAGUAACACGUGGGAACCUUCCUAGGGGUACGGAACAACUCAGGGAAACUUGAGCUAAUACCGUAUACGUCCGUGAGGAGAAAGAUUUAUCGCCCUUAGACGGGCCCGCGUAGGAUUAGGUAGUUGGUGGGGUAAUGGCCUACCAAGCCUACGAUCCUUAGCUGAUCUGAGAGGAUGAUCAGCCACACUGGGACUGAGACACGGCCCAGACUCCUACGGGAGGCAGCAGUGGGGAAUCUUGGACAAUGGGCGCAAGCCUGAUCCAGCCAUGCCGCGUGAGUGAAGAAGGCCU
rnacentral:rRNA from 1 species